GAUGAAGAACGCAGCGAAAUGCGAUACGUAAUGUGAAUUGCAGAAUUCAGUGAAUCAUCGAGUCUUUGAACGCACAUUGCGCCCCCUGGUAUUCCGGGGGGCAUGCCUGUCCGAGCGUCAUUGCUGCCCUCAAGCACGGCAUGUGUGUUGGGCCUCCGUCCUCCUCCCGGGGGACGGGCCCGAAAGGCAGCGGCGGCACCGCGUCCGGUCCUCGAGCGUAUGGGGCUUCGUCACCCGCUCUUGUAGGCCCGGUCGGCGCUUGCCGACACAUCAAUCUUUUUUCCAGGUUGACCUCGGAUCAGGUAGGGAUACCCGCUGAACUUAAGCAUAUCAAUAAGCGGAGGA
rnacentral:misc_RNA from 1 species